rnacentral:rRNA from 1 species
AUGAUUAAAGAUAGCUUGCUAUUUUUAUGAAGAGCGGCGAACGGGUGAGUAACGCGUGGGAAAUCUGCCGAGUAGCGGGGGACAACGUUUGGAAACGAACGCUAAUACCGCAUAACAAUGAGAAUCGCAUGAUUCUUAUUUAAAAGAAGCAAUUGCUUCACUACUUGAUGAUCCCGCGUUGUAUUAGCUAGUUGGUAGUGUAAAGGACUACCAAGGCGAUGAUACAUAGCCGACCUGAGAGGGUGAUCGGCCACACUGGGACUGAGACACGGCCCAGACUCCUACGGGAGGCAGCAGUAGGGAAUCUUCGGCAAUGGGGGCAACCCUGACCGAGCAACGCCGCGUGAGUGAAGAAGGU